GGCGUUGGGAGGUUGCCCGCAAUGCGUAAGCCGGCCAGCCCGGGCUUAGUUUGGAAUCGAGGGGAGAUCCGGGCUGGAGAGGUUUAAGAACCGUCGAGCGCAUCAGCGCGAAGGAUCUCUGCGGCCAAACGCUAGCAGGAAUCACAGACUGGACAAAGAGUGACACCCUCAAUUUCCACACCACCAGAUGAUACCUAAAACUGAAAAACCAACACAUAGCAAAAUAAAGCAAGUUAUUUAAUGAUAUGGAGGACAUCAAGUUCAAAGUCUUUAUUCCCAAUCUCAGCAUUCCGGACACGGUCAAAGCCUGGUGGACGCUCUAGAAAGGGACAAAUAUAAGGAGAAACACUUCUUUCUACAGUGCUGAUUUCCUAAGGAAAGAAUAAAUCAAUUUGGUAAAUCAUCUACUAACUGGAAUGUUAUUUCUCAGCCUGAAGUUUGUUUAGAGAGUAGGGCCUACAUAAAAAGACCUCAGGUAGUUAGAACAAAUCAAGUGUUACCCUGACUCAAGUCCUCUCCAAACUGAUGCUUGAAAAAGUCCAUGGAAACUGUUUUCUAAAAGACAGGGGUUUGAGGCACCUGGAUGGGUCAGUGGGUUAAGCCUCUGCCUUCAGCUCAGGUGAUGAUCUCAGGGUCCUGGGAUCAAGCCCUGCAUCUGGCUCUCUGCUCAGCAGGGAGCCUGCUUCCCACUACACACACAUACACACACACACACACACACACACACACACACACACACCCAUCCUGCUGCUGCCUACUUGUGAUCUCUGUCAAUUAAGUAAAAUUGUUAAAAAAAAAAAAAAAAAAAAUGGAACACCUGGGUGGCUCAGUUCAUUAAGCAGCUGCCUUCGGCUCGGGUCGUGAUCCCAAGGUCCUAGGAUAGAGUCCCCUAUCUGGCUCCUGGCUCGACGGAGAGCUUGCUUCCCCCUCCCACUCUGCCUGGUGCUUUUCCUGCUUGUACUCUCCCUCUCUGUUAAAUGAAUAAAUAAAACCUUAAAAAAAAAAAA